UUAACUUGUGAGGGACGGUACUGGUUUUAACUUGUCUUUUUGGGCGUUGAGUUGGACGCUGGCGACCUGGUUUAUAUCACGGCCUACAUUUCAUGCCAAUUUUUCUUGCGCAUGAAAUACUACAUUUUCUUCACAUCUGCCACCUAAUGAUUUUUAGAUCUUGGCUUCACAUUUCCAUGUCACUUCCUGGUUACCUCAGCACUUCUUCAAACGAACUCAUCGCAUUCGCUCCACAAAUAAACAGGAAUAAAUGGAGAUGGAGGUCUUCGAUUUCGGUUUGAUAAGGUAACAAAUAAUGUCAUAAUCCAAAUGUAAGAUUGGUUAAUUUAAAAAGUUGACCAUGAAUUCAGGCAGAAUGCGCAAAAAGAUGAGUCGCAGCUGUGGUAACUGUAUUUAAAUUAAAUCUAAAAAAACUAUGUUUAUCACUUCUAUUUAUUAAAUUGGAUUUCUUUCCUAAUAA